AUGGGGGGAAUGAGUGCGGCAUCCGCGUAUGGGUUGGCUCUCCAGGCUGUCCCGGUUCUCUUCUACAGCGUUUCUGGGACUGCCUUCGAUGGAAGGGCGAGCAGCGGCUGUGUCCGAGGGGUCUGCGGACCGUCUCCGGCAGGGCGCUUCGUGUCGGUCCAAGCGAGGGGAGACGCAUCCAACCUCCCCAGGGGGGCGCCAGGACGGGGCGGGUUCUGCCCCCUGGCCAAUGCACGCGCCAUGAAUAAUACUAACAGACGCGCAGCCGGGCCUCUUCAGCCCCCAAGUCUGCCCGGCACCCGGGCUGGGGAGACAAAGACCACGAGGCUGGCCGCAGGGAGCCCAGACCAGGAAGCCAAAAGAGACAGCCCAACUGCGGAGCCCCGGCGGGCUGGGCAGAGCCCUGUGUCCGAGCCUGCUGCCUCCCCUCCCCUCUCCUUCUGCUCCCCAGCAAGCCAGUGCCCCGGGCAGCCGGUUCUCGCAGACGCCCCUGACAGACACUGGCCCCUCCCUCUCCUCUUCUGGCAAAGGUGUGGAAGGCGGAAAUCGCUGGCUCCAAGGCAGAGGGCCGGUUCGGAAGGCCCGUCGGCUUUGCCCGGCCCCAAGCCUGCGCGGUACAGGCAGAGGCUGUUCCUCUGUUUGCCCCUGGACUCCCUCGGUCAAGGAGAGCAACGAGCCGCUCCUGCUCCUCUCUCCGCCGGCUCCCUUCACGUGGGCGUGCCACACGCCCUCCGCCUCCUUUGGGGGCGCCCUCCAAGCCUGGGCGCUGCCCUGCCGGCGGUCCUGCGAGGCCCUGGCGCUCUUGCCGUCCCCUAGAACGUGCUUGGUGGGGCCCGGCCGACACGGAGGCGUUGGCUGAAGCAGGGAGCCUCGAUGUCCCCCCAUAACUAGGGAGGAUCAUUUGUGCAAUGGCCGCCUCGAGAGGUCAUGAACGGAGGAGAUACGGGGGAGACCUGCGUUCAAGUUCCGCCUCUGACGCCUACCGGCUGGCUGAGCAGGCCAAACCCCUUCUGCUCCGAGGACGCCGAGGCAGGGACUGUCGGGCCUGGGAGCGCCCAACACCGGUGAGUGUCCAGAAAGGCCGAGCGAGUGGGGUGCAUUCCGGGCGGGACCCAGAAGGGCGACACCCGAGCGGGCAUCGUGAGCGCCCUCUGAGCCACUCGGUGCCCUUCCUAGACAGCCUCCCAGCAGCGAAGCCCGCUGCUUGUUUGAAUGCUCCCUGACGGAAGGCCGUGAGGCAGACGGAGCGUGGCGGUGCCCGGCGGCCGGAGCCAGGAGCCUGGGCCUUCCUGGACGGACGGACGCCUUCCUCCUUUCUUGUUUCUCUCCUGGAGGAGGCACCAGGAGAACUGUCCGAAGGGACGGCACAGCGGCUGGGAGAGAGCCCUGCCGGAAGGUGGGACUCGAGGGGAGGCACUGAGGAGGAGGCAGAAGAGUCCAGGGAUGGAGACCGGCCGGUGGAAACGUUCCGAGUCGGGCGGCUGAGUGUCCCGUCUGAGGAGCAGAGAGGCCGGAGCCUGGGACGCGGGGUGGAACAAGAGGGCAGCGGUACCAAGGGCCCAUUUCUGCAAGGCCUUAAAAGCCAGACGAAGGAGGUUCCAUCCGAUCCUGGAAGCACUAGGGAGCCAGUGGAGGUUAUGGAGAAGGAGGCAGGACACGGUCAGGGCUAUGGUGCAGAGAAUGAGAACUCAGCGUAGGUUCCAGUGUGAUGCGGUGGAAAGUGUCUGGAUAUAGGAGUCCCAAGCCUGGGUUCAAAUUCUCACUCUGCUAGCACUGGGCAAACAUUUGAGGUGUUUGUGGCCCCAUUUCUUCCUCU
ensembl:lncRNA